rnacentral:rRNA from 1 species
GACGAACGCUGGCGGCGUGCUUAACACAUGCAAGUCGAACGGAAAGGCGCUGCUUUUGUGGGGUGCUCGAGUGGCGAACGGGUGAGUAACACGUGAGUAACCUGCCCUUGACUUUGGGAUAACUUCAGGAAACUGGGGCUAAUACCGGAUAGGAGCUCCUGCUGCAUGGUGGGGGUUGGAAAGUUUCGGCGGUUGGGGAUGGACUCGCGGCUUAUCAGCUUGUUGGUGGGGUAGUGGCUUACCAAGGCUUUGACGGGUAGCCGGCCUGAGAGGGUGACCGGCCACAUGGGGACUGAGAUACGGCCCAGACUCCUACGGGAGGCAGCAGUGGGGAAUAUUGCACAAUGGGCGGAAGCCUGAUGCAGCAACGCCGCGUGCGGGAUGACGGCCUUCGGGUUAUAAACCGCUUUCGCCUGUGACGAAGCGUGAGUGACGGUAAUGGGUAAAGAAGCACCGGCUAACUACGUG